UACGGGGGGAGCAAGCGUUGUUCGGAUUUACUGGGCGUAAAGGGCGCGUAGGCGGCGUGACAAGUCACUUGUGAAAUCCCCGGGCUUAACUCGGAACGGUCAAGUGAUACUGUCGUGCUAGAGUACAGAAGGGGCAACUGGAAUUCUCGGUGUAGCGGUGAAAUGCGUAGAUAUCGAGAGGAACACCUGCGGCGAAGGCGGGUUGCUGGGCUGAUACUGACGCUGAGGCGCGAAAGCUAGGGGAGCGAACGGG
rnacentral:rRNA from 1 species